rnacentral:rRNA from 1 species
UACAGAGGUCCCAAGCGUUGUUCGGAUUCAUUGGGCGUAAAGGGUGCGUAGGCGGCGCGGUAAGUCGGGUGUGAAAUCUCGGAGCUUAACUCCGAAACUGCAUUCGAUACUGCCGUGCUUGAGGACUGGAGAGGAGACUGGAAUUUACGGUGUAGCGGUGAAAUGCGCAGAUAUCAGGAAGAACACCCGUGGCGAAGGCGGCUCUCUGGGACGGUACUGACGCUGAGACGCGAAAGCGUGGGGAGCGAACAGG